GACGAACGCUGGCGGCGUGCUUAACACAUGCAAGUCGAACGAUGAACCCGGAGCUUGCUCCGGCGGAUUAGUGGCGAACGGGUGAGUAACACGUGAGUAACCUGCCCUUGACUCUGGGAUAACUGCGGGAAACUGUAGCUAAUACCGGAUACGACCCUCGGCGGCAUCGCCAGGGGGUGGUAAGAAUUUCGGUCAAGGAUGGACUCGCGGCCUAUCAGCUAGUUGGUGAGGUAACGGCUCACCAAGGCGACGAGGGGUAGCCGGCCUGAGAGGGUGACCGGCCACACUGGGACUGAGACACGGACCAGACUCCUACGGGAGGCAGCAGUGGGGAAUAUUGCACAAUGGGCGCAAGCCUGAUGCAGCAACGCCGCGUGAGGGAUGACGGCCUUCGGGUUGUAAACCUCUUUUAGUAGGGAAGAAGCGAAAGUGACGGUACCUGCAGAAAGAGCACCGGCUAACUACGUGCCAGCCGCCGCAGUAA
rnacentral:rRNA from 1 species